AACGAACGCUGGCGGCAGGCCUAACACAUGCAAGUCGAACGCCCGUAGCAAUACGGGAGUGGCAGACGGGUGAGUAACGCGUGGGAACGUGCCCUUCGGUUCGGAAUAACUCAGGGAAACUUGAGCUAAUACCGGAUACGUCCGUAAGGAGAAAGAUUUAUCGCCGAAGGAUCGGCCCGCGUCGGAUUAGCUAGUUGGUGAGGUAACGGCCCACCAAGGCGACGAUCCGUAGCUGGUCUGAGAGGANGAUCAGCCACACUGGGACUGAGACACGGCCCAGACUCCUACGGGAGGCAGCAGUGGGGAAUAUUGGACAAUGGGCGAAAGCCUGAUCCAGCCAUGCCGCGUGAGUGAAGAAGGCCUUAGGGUUGUAAAGCUCUUUCAG
rnacentral:rRNA from 1 species